rnacentral:misc_RNA from 1 species
CGCACAUUGCGCCCUUUGGUAUUCCGAAGGGCAUGCCUGUUCGAGCGUCAUUAAAACCCUCAAGCUCUUCUGCUUGGUGUUGGGCUCUGUCAUCAGACAAGCCUGAAAAUCAGUGGCGGUGACUUCUGGUCCUCAAGCGUAGUAAUUUAUUUUCUCUUGAAGAACCGAUAGUUAUCAGUCAAAACCACCUAUAUUUCUCUAGGUUGACCUCGGAUCAGGUAGGAAUACCCGCUGAACUUAA